rnacentral:tRNA from 1 species
GCAGGUAUGGCGGAAUUGGCAGACGCGCUAGAUUCAGGUUCUAGUGCCUUCACGGGCAUACAGGUUCAAGUCCUGCUACCUGCACCA